rnacentral:lncRNA from 1 species
CCCCAGCCGAUCCUCCCAGCCUCCUGGACGCGUCCACGCGACUGAAGGGCGGGGUGCACCAUGUCUGCCACCCAUGGCCCCGCUGCCACUCCCCUACGCCUGAGCCAGGGCUCGCGCAAGCCGCACCUCUCCUCUAGCUCGCUUCCGCGCCCCGUUAGAGCCAGCCGCUGCAUGGAAUCGUGCGGACACCGCCGCUAGAUCGAAGCUCCUACAACCCGUGUCGCCGGCGUCCAACAAGCCUGACCCGCGCCCCGUAUCUUCCUCUUUGUCUCCUACCAUUCCCCCUAACCUCGUGCUCUCCCCCCUGUGACCCGUGCAGGAGCCGCCAUGGCCGGUGCAUGCUGGAGCUCCUAAGCCAUCCCCCACCGCCGUUGUUCGCCGGAUCCGGUCCCUCCUUACCGGAUCUACCUGAUCUCGUGCGGAUAUGUCCUGCCCUGCCCUAAUCUACUCAUUCCCAAGCAUGCUCGUCGUCGAAGCUCUGUUCCUGCCUCUGUUGUUCGUCUCCUUUGUCGGGAACGAGGACUAGAGCCAGCGUGCCGCUCACUGCGCCCACUCGUGGGCCAGCUGCUGGCAAGCCCAAGCCAUGUCGGCCUAGUUGCACCGUGGAGCCGCAC